rnacentral:tRNA from 1 species
UUAACUAAAAUCAAAAUAGAGCUAUAUUACUGUUAAUAAUAUUAUUGAAUUAUUUUAUAAAUUCUAGUUAAU